rnacentral:rRNA from 1 species
UACGUAGGAGGCAAGCGUUGUCCGGAUUUAUUGGGCGUAAAGAGCGUGUAGGCGGUCAGGUAGGUCGGUUGUGAAAACUGGAGGCUCAACCUUCAGAGGUCGACCGAAACCCCCUGGCUAGAGUCCGGGAGAGGAGAGUGGAAUUCCUGGUGUAGCGGUGAAAUGCGCAGAUAUCAGGAAGAACACCCGUGGCGAAAGCGGCUCUCUGGAACGGUACUGACGCUGAGACGCGAAAGCGUGGGGAGCGAACAGG